AGGGAGCGUAGGCGGCUGAUUAAGUCAGCGGUGAAAGGUAGCAGCUUAACUGUUUUACAUGCCGUUGAUACUGGUUAGCUUGAGUUGACAGAAGGCAGAUAGAAUUCCUGGUGUAGCGGUGAAAUGCUUAGAUACCAGGAGGAAUACCGAUUGCGAAGGCAGUCUGCUGCAGUCACACUGACGCUGAGGCUCGAAGGUGCGGGGAUCAAACAGGAUUAGAUACCCCUUGU
rnacentral:rRNA from 1 species